AUGCCAUCAGCGGGCAGCGUCUGUCAUCUAUGUCUGGUCUCCAACCUGGUCUGCCAUCUUGGCUGCAGGCUGAGAGGGAAGCAAUGUGGGCAACCUGCCCCCACAGAGUCCGAGUCACCUGAGGAGCCGAACAGUUGCGGAAGCUCUUCAUCGGAGGGCUGAGCUUUGAAACAACCGAUGACAGUCUGAGGAGCCGUUUUGAGCAAUGGGGAACACUCACCGACUGCGUGGUCGUGAGAGAUCCAAACACCAAGUUCCAGGGGCUUUGGGUUUGUCACUUAUGCCACCGUGGAGGAGGUGGAUGCAGCUAUGAACACAAGGCCACACAAAGUGGACGGAAGAGUUGCGGAACCAAAGAGAGCAGUGUCACGAGAAGAUUCUCAAAGACCAGGUGCCCACUUAGCUGUGAAAAAAAUCUUUGUUGGUGGAAUUAAAGAAGACACUGAAGAACAUCACCUACGAGAUUAUUUUGAACAGUAUGGGAAAAUUGAAGUGACUGAAAUCAUGACUGAUGGGGGCAGCGGAGAGAAGUGGGGCUUUGCUUUUGUCACCUUUGAUGACCAUGAUUCUGUGGAUAAGAUUGUCAUUAAGAAAUACCAUACUGUGAAUGGUCACAAUUGUGAAGUAAAAAGAGCCUUGUCAAAGCAAGAGAUGGCUAAUGCUUCUUCUAGCCAAAGAGGUCGAAGUGGUUCUGAAAACUUUGGUGGUGGUCGCGGAGGUGGUAUUGGUGGCAAUGACAAUUUUGGUCGUAGUUGCUUUGGUGGCAGCCAUGGUGGUGGAUAUGGGGCCAGUGGGGAUGGCUAUAACGGAUUUAGUAAUGAUGGUGGUUAUGGAGGAGGCGGUCCUGGUUACUCUGGAGGAAGCAGAGGCUAUGGAAGUGGUGGACAGGGUUAUGGAAACCAGGGCAGUGGCUAUGGCCGGAGUGGCAGCUAUGACAGCUAUAACAACGGAGGGGGGGGAGGCGGGAUUUGGGGGGGUAGGGGGGAGCUUUUGGGGGGGGUGGAAGCUAUAACGAUUUUGGGAGGUACAACAAUCAAUCUUCAAAUUUUGGACCUAUGAAGGGUGGAAACUUUGGAGGCAGAAGCUCUGGCCCUUAUGGUGGUGGAGGCCAAUACUUUGCUAAACCACAAAACCAAGGUGGCUAUGGUAGUUCCAGCAGCAGCAGUAGCUAUGGCAGUGGCAGAAGAUUCUAGUUUACCAUCAGGAAGCAAGCUUAGCAGGAGAGGAGAGCCAGAGAAGUGACAGGGAAAGCUACAGGUUACAGCAGGUUUGUGAACUCAGCCAAGCACAGCGGUCGCAGGACCAAGCUGCUGCAAAGAAGACAUGUUUGAGACAUGCUCAUGUGUAUGGGCAAAAAACUCCAGGACUAUAUUUGUGACUAAUUGUAUAACAGGUUAUUUUAGUUUCUGUUCUGUGGAAAGUGUAAAGCAUUCCAACAAAGGGUUUAAUGUAGACUUUCACCCAUGCUGUUGAUUGCUAAUGACAUAGUCUGAUCAUGACGCUGAAUAAAUGUGUCUUUUUUUUU